CGCUGCCGAGGCCGGGCCCGGCGCUGUCGCCGCGGCCGCCGCCGGUGGUCGUCCUCCGUCUGCUGCAACGCCUGGAGUCAACACAGCCCUCUCCUUCUCUCGCUGCGUCCGGGUGAACCUGAGAGCGGGUGGCGACAGUGUUUUAGUUACAUGUCCACCAUCGAGAGCAUGUAGUUCAAGCGUGUCACUGUCCAAAGCAUCCAACGCACCACAGCGAGAGGGUCCUACUGUUCAGCUCCUGCUCCUCCCCCGGUGAGGGCUGUCCGCCAGCCCUCAGCCAACCGGGUCUGUGAGGAGGACGAAGACAACACAAACAAACACACCGUGAGGAGGACGAAGACAACACAGACAAACACACCGUGAGGAGGAUGAAGACAACACAGACAAACACCCCGUGAGGAGGCCGAGCGCUGCUGCGUACGCAGUCCGACGGUCGUCUCCACCGAGUCGUGUGUCUGUGAGUACGACGGGCGCGUGUCUGUACCUCAGCCCGAGCAGGAGCGGGCGUUGCCGGCUGCUCCACGUCGCCCUUCGUCGUCGUCGUCUUCCUCCUCUUCUUCUCGGGCUCCGGCGCCAGGGUGGCCUCCCCGCAUGGCGUCUCCUCCACGGAGACGCCACGAGGCUCCACCCUGGUCUGCGCCGGAGCCCGAGCAGGAAGUCCGACCGUCGGCGGAGCAGCCGCAACCUGUGGUGGUGGUGGUGGUGGUGGGGGAGGGGUGGAGGACGGUGCCGGAGGAGGUGGAGACGGAGGCGUCUCCAGCGGGAGCGGGAGGGCCUGAAGGACCUGUACGCCAGCUUCAGACACGGUCACGCACAACCAAACGGCAUCAGCACAAUGAGAGUGACGGGGCAACACACGGGCAAGCGAGACUAAGUGAGUCUGAGCAUUCAUGACGUGCAGCAUGCCGUUGAUUAGAUAAAAUGGUUUAGUGCUACAAGGCGACCGUUAAGAGAUGUGCUACAAGGUGACCGUUAAGAGGUGUGCUACAAGGCGACCGUUAAGAGGUGUGCUACAAGGCGACCGUUAAGAGGUGUGCUACAAGGCGAAUGUUAGUUACAAGGCGAGGUUUGCUAGACUGGGAGUUUAAUCAAAUCCACAUUACCACUACGUGAGUGAGGACGGCGCGUCUACCACCAACAAAGACGGCUACAUCACCUGAUAAACCUACCUUUGUCCUUCAGGCAUCAGCUUUAGCGACCGGCAAAUGAAAAAGUUACAGUUAAUGCAAACACACUGACUCAAGAAUAGAUAUCAGUUGUGGUGUGUAUGUAUGCAUGUGGUGCCAGCUACCCAUUUCCACGUCAGUGACCGUCUGGACCAGCUCCUCGUCCAUCACCUCUGUGGUGGGGGGCGGCGGAACCGAGGGGCGCUGGUCUCUGACGGAAGACACCGCU
ensembl:lncRNA